GAGGGUGGAGCACUUGAACAACGCGUUGCGGCGUCCGGCAAACGCGUCCUGCGACCGACACAUUUUCCGUGCCGAUGCACUUACCCUCGCGCACCCUCUCCGCGCGCGUUGCACCCUAUACAAUACCGACGACGACGAUCUACCCCUCCGUGCGCUCCCCCACCCCCGUCCUGUGUCCCGUCACACAUGCACACACACCAUAUACUUUCUUUCGUCCGUCACCCCACUUGUCUACCCUUCGCUCACCUACGAGUGACGACGCCUGUCUCUGGAAAUAGUCGCUACAAAGCGAUUCACCGUGCAUAUCGUGCCGUUGACGUGAUUGCCGGAGCCGCUCUCUUUCGUUCUUCCGUCGUCAAAAAGGACCGGCCGAUGACGGAGAUUUCGGCGCGAGCGACGCGAAGAUGAUUAUUUUGGGCGCGGGCCGACCCGGUGCUUGUCGACAGAUUUUCGCGGCCACGCGCGGUGAAACUCGAUGUAGCGACGGUAUCGCAACGGGGUUUAGCGCAAGCUUUUAAAACCGACGAUAUUUCCGUUAUGAUAUUACGCGCGUUAUCAAAUUGUGCAACGAUAAUGACAGUGCUUGCCGCCUUUGUUUGGAUCUCUAUACUAUUUGUCCUUUAUAUGUGCAUCGUGAAACUCUAUCCUCAUCGCAGCUCUUGGCUUCCAUUCAUUUCGACCGCUAUUAAUCGGCUUUUGAAGAGAGUGCACUUCUAUAUCUGACGGAAUAUUCGGCGUGCCUGGAAUGAAACCUGCUGAAUUUUAUCGCAAACAUGCGGCACGACGCAGAUCUGCGAGCGACGAAUGCGACGACGACAAGUACACGCAGAAAAGAUUGUGAAACUAUUUAAUGUGAAAUUAUUGUUUUAGCGAGUUAAAAAAAAUAUUCAAUUUUACAUUUCAAGAUAAUCAUCCGCUGCCGAAAUGUAUACAAAUUUUAUUUUUAAUCGAAUACGUGUCUCGUUUGGUGGCAUAAGUUUCUGUUUAUCGACGUUAGGACAACGAUAAAUAUAAAUUUUUCAUCUUAUAGUUCGAAAGAUGAAAAAAUUAUAUAAAUAUUCUUUCAUUCAGUCAGCCGAAAAUCGACGAAGAUUGAACGAUGACGUUGAGUCAGGCGUUGAAUUUGUUACACGAAACGAAUGACAGUCAUCACGAGAGCGAUCACGGUUCAGCCGGAAAGUGAAAAAUGAUUCCUUGCGUACCUCGUUAUAAGCGAGGGCACACGUGGAUAAUCCAGUGAGCGAUGUACGUUAUGUGCCGGUGAUUGAAUAUCGCAUCGCUGCCGCCACGCGUGUUACGACCAGUCUCUUGAGAAGAGAAGUGGCACUUUAUUCAUAUAUUAUUCGCGACUAUAUAGAGGCAUCGAUACACCGAUAAUCGGAUACACGACUGCGCUCACUCGAGCGCUCGGGACCCAUGUCGGAGAUGUGCGCUCGUUAGUCGCUGGGAUGGAUAAACGAAGGAAGGGAAACACGUCGAGAAGGUGAUUGCAUUCCGUGACUCAUCGUGCAGCUGGACGGUUCCGCGGAAUUUUCCCCGUGUUCACUCGAUCGCGCCGGCACGACGCGGGCGCUUCGUUCCCGCUAAAGUAAGGACUCCUCGAAAGUGCCAGAUCGCAUUUGCACGAUUCGAACGGCGGACCGUACUUUCACUCGAUCGCCUGUCCCGUACCUCGUCGGCACGUCGAGGCUCUCGCCGCCGUAAACCCAAAGAGGAGAACCGCUUGGGACGCGGAGCGGUGCGACGCGAGAAGGGAGAGGAGACUCCGGGCAGAAGGAGAAACGCGAGAAGAGGAAGCAGACACGCACGUACGCAUUCACGCACGCACGUACGCACGUACGGCGGCGUACGUACAUACGUAACACAUACGAGCGAACGAGCGAAACGAAUCGAGUGGGCGCUCGCGAGUCCGAGGAGAGGUUUAGUGACCUCGGCGUGUCCUAAGGAGAAGCAGAAGGAGUAGGAGGACGACGACGACAACGACGACGACGACGAGUACGAGCACGGGUGCAAGCACGAGCACGACGACGCUGAGGCGCAACGAGACGACGAGGAGUGGCCGAGAAGAAGAAGAGCAAAUUGGUGCUCCCGGUAGCAGGGGCCCAUGAGCGCCGUGGAGGAAACAUUACGCAACGUGUCGAGGCGCAGCGGCCGCGGCGGCUCGAUCGGC